rnacentral:rRNA from 1 species
AGAACGAACGCUGGCGGCAUGCCUAAUACAUGCAAGUCGAACGAACUCUUCGGAGUUAGUGGCGCACGGGUGCGUAACGCGUGGGAAUCUGCCCCUUGGUUCGGAAUAACAGUUGGAAACGACUGCUAAUACCGGAUGAUGACGAAAGUCCAAAGAUUUAUCGCCAAGGGAUGAGCCCGCGUAGGAUUAGCUAGUUGGUGAGGUAAAGGCUCACCAAGGCAACGAUCCUUAGCUGGUCUGAGAGGAUGAUCAGCCACACUGGGACUGAGACACGGCCCAGACUCCUACGGGAGCAGCAGUAGGGAAUAUUGGACAAUGGGGCAACCUGAUCCAGCCAUUCCGCGUGAGUGAAGAAGGCC